rnacentral:tRNA from 1 species
UCUAAUGUGGCAGAUAAGUGCAUUGGAUUUAAGCUCCAAAUAUAAAGCCUCAAGGCCUUCAUUAGAA